rnacentral:tRNA from 1 species
GGGCGUGUAGCUCAGAGGGAGAGCACUACGUUGACAUCGUAGGGGUCACAGGUUCAAUCCCUGUCACGCCCACCA